GACGAACGCUGGCGGCGUGCUUAACACAUGCAAGUCGAACGGAAAGGCCCUGCUUGCAGGGUACUCGAGUGGCGAACGGGUGAGUAACACGUGGGUGAUCUGCCCUGCACUUCGGGAUAAGCCUGGGAAACUGGGUCUAAUACCGGAUAGGAGCCAUUUUUAGUGUGAUGGUUGGAAAGUUUUUUCGGUGUAGGAUGAGCUCGCGGCCUAUCAGCUUGUUGGUGGGGUAAUGGCCUACCAAGGCGGCGACGGGUAGCCGGCCUGAGAGGGUGGACGGCCACAUUGGGACUGAGAUACGGCCCAGACUCCUACGGGAGGCAGCAGUGGGGAAUAUUGCACAAGGGGCGCAAGCCUGAUGCAGCGACGCCGCGUGGGGGAUGACGGCCUUCGGGUUGUAAACUCCUUUCGCUAGGGACGAAGCCUUUUGUGACGGUACCUAGAUAAGAAGCACCGGCUAACUACGUG
rnacentral:rRNA from 1 species